UACGUAGGGUCCGAGCGUCGUCCGGAAUUAUUGGGCGUAAAGGGCUCGUAGGUGGUUUGUCGCGUCGGGAGUGAAAUCUUACGGCUUAACUGUGAGUGGGCUUUCGAUACGGGCAGGCUAGAGGGAUGCAGGGGAGAAUGGAAUUCCUGGUGUAGCGGUGGAAUGCGCAGAUAUCAGGAGGAACACCGGUGGCGAAGGCGGUUCUCUGGGCAUUUCCUGACGCUGAGGAGCGAAAGCAUGGGGAGCGAACAGG
rnacentral:rRNA from 1 species